rnacentral:rRNA from 1 species
UACGUAGGGGGCAAGCGUUGUCCGGAUUUAUUGGGCGUAAAGAGCGUGUAGGCGGCCAUACAGGUCAGCUGUGAAAACUCGAGGCUCAACCUCGAGACGUCGGUUGAAACCGUAUGGCUAGAGUCCGGAAGAGGAGAGUGGAAUUCCCGGUGUAGCGGUGAAAUUCGUAGAUAUUGGGAAGAACACCGGUGGCGAAGGCGGCUCACUGGCUCAUUUCUGACGCUCAGGCGCGACAGCGUGGGGAUCAAACAGG